rnacentral:rRNA from 1 species
CCUACGGGAGGCAGCAGUGGGGAAUUUUGGACAAUGGGCGCAAGCCUGAUCCAGCAAUGCCGCGUGAGUGAAGAAGGCCUUCGGGUUGUAAAGCUCUUUUGUCAGGGAAGAAACGGUUCGGGUUAAUACCUUAGGCUAAUGACGGUACCUGAAGAAUAAGCACCGGCUAACUACGUGCCAGCAGCCGCGGUAAUACGUAGGGUGCAAGCGUUAAUCGGAAUUACUGGGCGUAAAGCGUGCGCAGGCGGUUGUGCAAGACAGAUGUGAAAUCCCCGGGCUCAACCUGGGAAUUGCAUUUGUGACUGUACGGCUAGAGUGUGUCAGAGGGGGGUAGAAUUCCACGUGUAGCAGUGAAAUGCGUAGAGAUGUGGAGGAAUACCGAUGGCGAAGGCAGCCCCCUGGGAUAACACUGACGCUCAUGCACGAAAGCGUGGGGAGCAAACAGGAUUAGAUACCCUGGUAGUCCCACGACCUAACGACUGUCUACUAGUUGUCGGUUCGUUAUUGUACUUAGUACGUACAGCUACGCGUGAGUAGACCGCCGUCGGGAGGUACGGUCGCGAGAAGUUAAACGUAACAAAGUAGUAAGUUAGUACGGACGUGAGACGUAGACCGACGGACGACGACGAGGGAGGAGG